UACGUAGGGGGCUAGCGUUGUCCGGAAUCAUUGGCGUAAAGCGCGUGUAGGCGGUUCGGUAAGUCCGCUGUGAAAGUCGGGGGCUCAACCGUGGAACUGCCGGGCAUACUGGCGAUCUUGAGGCAUUCAGGGGCGAGCGGAACAAAUGGUGGAGCGGUGAAAUGCGUAGAUAUCAUUUGGAACGCCAAUGGUGAAAACAGCUCGCUGGGAAUGAUCUGACACUGAGACGCGAAAGCCAGGGGAGCGAACGGG
rnacentral:rRNA from 1 species